rnacentral:rRNA from 1 species
UACGUAGGGUGCGAGCGUUGUCCGGAAUUACUGGGCGUAAAGAGCUCGUAGGUGGUUUGUCGCGUUGUUCGUGAAAACUCACAACUCAAUUGUGGGCGUGCGGGCGAUACGGGCAGACUGGAGUACUGCAGGGGAGACUGGAAUUCCUGGUGUAGCGGUGGAAUGCGCAGAUAUCAGGAGGAACACCGGUGGCGAAGGCGGGUUGCUGGGCUGACACUGACGCUGAUGCGCGAAAGCUAGGGGAGCGAACGGG